CUCGGGCGGUCGGUCCGCGCAGCUGCUUUCUGUUGCCCGCGGCUGAGAUCCGGACGUCGACCCGCUGCCGGGGGCGACGUGGAUGUAUUGAUAUACGUGUGUUUGUGAUACUCCGGGUUCUUUGCAUUGAUCCGCGUUAUUAUUCUGCGUAUUGUUCUGGUUAUCAUUGGGAGUUUACCUUUUACGUCGGGGUGAAUACAUGUGGAUUUAUCAUCAUCUCACAUGCGAUAAAGAUAAAAGAGGCCGACUGUUUGUCCUCCCGAUGGAGCUUCUCUGGGUGGUGCUGCUGCUGGAGGUGGUGCUCAUGUCCUCUGCUGCCAGAAGGGGAGGGACUCCUGACGGGACGUCAACAACGGCCUCUCCGGGAGGUGAUCGUCGGCCCUGACCUCGCUUGUCUCAGCUCGCCACAGAAGACUUUGAAAAUCAUUCAACCGCGAGUGGCAUUUCUCCCGUUUCCCACAAAGUGUCCGUGUCCGCACAAAGACGUGUGUGUGCAGUGGGUUGGAGGUGACGCGUGAACACCGCACUACACGGGCCUCCUUCACGUCGGGCGGCUCAGCGCACUUAUGAUCCGGAGGUAAUCCGUCUCUUGUGUGGGCUCCAUCGUCACACAGGGACACAACAGGCCUUUUCUUCCACGCGUAAUUAACAGAGGUACUUACGCGCUGCUUUCUGGGAUUUAAGCGUUGUGUUGUCGCAGCUUUAGGCUGCGGUGGUG
ensembl:lncRNA